rnacentral:rRNA from 1 species
AUUGAACGCUGGCGGCAGGCUUAACACAUGCAAGUCGAGCGAGCGGCGGACGGGUGAGUAAUGUCUGGGAAACUGCCUGAUGGAGGGGGAUAACUACUGGAAACGGUAGCUAAUACCGCAUACCAUCAGAUGUGCCCAGAUGGGAUUAGCUAGUAGGUGGGGUAAUGGCUCACCUAGGCGGCGAUCCCUAGCUGGUCUGCGAGGAUGACCACCCCCCCUGGAACUGAGACACGGUCCAGACUCCUCCUAAAACCACCACUUCAAAAUAUUUCACAAUGACCGCAAGCCUGAUUCAGCCAUGCCGCGUGUGUGAAGAAACCGUUCGGGUUUUAACGCACUUUCAGCGAGGAGGCGUUACUCGCAGAAGAAGCACCGGCUAACUCCGUGCCAGCAGCCGCGGUAAUUC